rnacentral:sRNA from 1 species
CUGUGGGAGUUGGCAGCGAGCACUCCAGCUGGAGUGGUGGCAGCUUUGGCCAGGAGUAUGCUGACCAGUGUAGUCAGUCCAGGGAACAACAGGAUGGCCCUGGAGGGGCUUUUUCAGUGUUGCUUCUUUUCUAGACAGAGGAGGAUAUCUUGGUCAGAAAAGAGCUUGAAGAAAUUGCCAGGACUCACCCAGACCAGUUCGACCUGUGGUACACCCUGGACAGGCCUCCCAUUGGCUGGAAGUACAGCUCAGGCUUCGUUACUGCCGACAUGAUCAAGGAGCACCUUCCUCCUCCAGGGAAGUCCACGCUCAUCCUGGUGUGUGGCCCGCCACCGCUGAUCCAGACGGCGGCUCACCCUAACCUGGAGAAGCUGGGUUAUACCCAGGACAUGAUUUUCACCUACUAACACCUCCAUGUGCUCAGCAAAUCUGCAUGUCCCUUUUCAUCUGUUUCAGAGUAAGUUCAAUUUCACCACCUUAAACUGGGAUGUUUUCAAAA